AAUUCUCUCAUUGAAUGCCUUCCACCAAAAUGACGAGGUUCCACGCCGCUCUAUAUAUGUUCGCCUUGGGCCAUCUUGUUCUCUGCUAGAGCUUAGGCCCAGUUUCAUUCCACUGACUAAAGUUUAGUCCCUGUAGCAUCGAAUGUUUAGAUACUAAUUAGGAGUAUUAAAUAUAGACUAAUUACAAAAUUAAUUGCACAGAUGGAGGCUAAUUCGCGAGACAAAUCUAUUAAGUC
rnacentral:lncRNA from 1 species